rnacentral:rRNA from 1 species
AUUGAACGCUGGCGGCAGGCCUAACACAUGCCAGUCGAGCGGAUGAAGGUAGCUUGCUCCGGGAGUCAGCGGCGGACGGGUGGGUAAUGCCUACGAAUCUGCCUUGUAGUGGGGGAUAACGUCCGGAAACGGGCGCUAAUACCGCAUACAUCCUGAGGGGGAAAGUUUGGGAUCUUCAGACCUCACGCUAUCAGAUGAGCCUAGGUCGGAUUAGCUAGUUGGUGGGGUAAAGGCCUACCAAGGCAACGAUCCGUAGCUGGUCUGAGAGGAUGAUCAGUCACACUGGAACUGAGACACGGCCCAGACCACAACGGGAGGGAGCAGUGGGGAAUAUUGGACAAUGGGCGAAAGUCUGACCCAGCCCAGCCGCCUGUGUGAAGAAGGUCCUCGGAUUGUAAAUCACUUUAAGUUGGGAGGAAGGACAGUCAGUUACUCGCUUGCUGUUUUGACGUUACCAAACGAAUAAGCACCGGCUAACUUCGUG